rnacentral:rRNA from 1 species
AUUCGAAGCAACGCGAAGAUCCUUACCAGGUCCUGACAUCCUCUGGCAACCCUAGAGAUACGCCUUUCCCUUCGGGGACAGAGUGACAGGUGGUGCAUGGUUGUCGUCAGCUCGUGUCGUGAGAUGUUGGGUUAAGUCCCGCAACGAGCGCAACCCUUGAUCUUAGUUGCCAGCAUUCAGUUGGGCACUAUAAGGUGACUGCCGGUGACAAACCGGAGGAAGGUGGGGAUGACGUCAAAUCAUCAUGCCCCUUAUGACCUGGGCUACACACGUGCUACAAUGGACAGAACAAAGGGCUGCGAGACCGCAAGGUUUAGCCAAUCCCACAAAUCUGUUCUCAGUUCGGAUCGCAGUCUGCAACUCGACUGCGUGAAGCUGGAAUCGCUAGUAAUCGCGGAUCAGCAUGCCGCGGGGAACACGUUCCCGGG